UUUCUACGGAGAGUUUGAUCCUGGCUCAGGACGAACGCUGGCGGCGUGCUUAACACAUGCAAGUCGAGCGGUAAGGCCCUUUCGGGGGUACACGAGCGGCGAACGGGUGAGUAACACGUGAGUAAUCUGCCCUCCACUUGGGGAUAAGCUUCGGAAACGGGGUCUAAUACCUGAUACGACACUCUCCUGCAUGGGAUGGGUGUGGAAAGUU
rnacentral:rRNA from 1 species